CCUACGGGGGGCAGCAGUGGGGAAUAUUGGACAAUGGGCGAAAGCCUGAUCCAGCCAUGCCGCGUGAGUGAUGAAGGCCCUAGGGUUGUAAAGCUCUUUCACCGGUGAAGAUAAUGACGGUAACCGGAGAAGAAGCCCCGGCUAACUUCGUGCCAGCAGCCGCGGUAAUACGAAGGGGGCUAGCGUUGUUCGGAAUUACUGGGCGUAAAGCGCACGUAGGCGGAUUGUUAAGUGAGGGGUGAAAUCCCAGGGCUCAACCCUGGAACUGCCUUUCAUACUGGCAAUCUAGAGUCCGGAAGAGGUGAGUGGAAUUCCGAGUGUAGAGGUGAAAUUCGUAGAUAUUCGGAGGAACACCAGUGGCGAAGGCGGCUCACUGGUCCGGUACUGACGCUGAGGUGCGAAAGCGUGGGGAGCAAACAGGAUUAGAUACCCGGGUAGUCAG
rnacentral:rRNA from 1 species